CCUACGGGAGGCAGCAGUGAGGAAUAUUGGUCAAUGGACGCGAGUCUGAACCAGCCAAGUAGCGUGCAGGAUGACUGCCCUAUGGGUUGUAAACUUCUUUUAUAUGGGAAUAAACUGUUAUACGUGUGGGUUUUUGUAUGUACCAUAUGAAUAAGGAUCGGCUAACUCCGUGCCAGCAGCCGCGGUAAUACGGAGGAUCCGAGCGUUAUCCGGAUUUAUUGGGUUUAAAGGGUGCGUAGGUGGAUUGUUAAGUCAGUUGUGAAAGUUUGCGGCUCAACCGUAAAAUUGCAUUUGAUACUGGCAGGCUAGAGAACAGUAGAGGUAGGCGGAAUUCGUGGUGUAGCGGUGAAAUGCUUAGAUAUCACGAAGAACUCCGAUUGCGAAGGCAGCUCACUAGGCUGCAACUGACACUGAGGCACGAAAGUGUGGGUAUCAAACAGGAUUAGAUACCCGUGUAGUC
rnacentral:rRNA from 1 species